UCCUAAAGUCUCCUGAGACUUUGUAUUGAGUAUUCUUGCCUGCAGGAUCCCAUGGACAAAGGAGCCUGCAGGCAGACAUGGGGUUGCAAAAAAACUGGGCCUGACCUAGCGACUAAACAACAGCAAGAAGAGGAAGAGACUUUGCCCAGCAACUGUACUCAUCAGAGCCUGGAUUGCAGGCUGCCAGCUUCCAGAGCCAUGAGAAACGAAGACGUGCUGCUUAAACCACUCCAUCUACAGCAUACUGUCAUACCAGCCUGAGCAGACUUACAGUCUUAACAUAAUUGAAUUUCCCAGAAAUGCAACUGCUGUGUAAAUUGAGUGAAGCUUAUGCUUUGUUUUGUUCAGAACUUUACCAUGAGUUCUUCUCCACUCUGGAAACACACAUCAGUAACACCACUCGUGAUGUCUGAGUCAGUGAGAGAUCACACCUGUUUCAACUUGUAUGACAGCCGUGGCUUUUGUGGUUCCUAAGAUGUAACAGAACUUCAGAAUCUUCCCGUAGUGACCUGCUCUGUCUUUGACCUCCA
ensembl:lncRNA